rnacentral:rRNA from 1 species
GACGAACGCUGGCGGCGUGCCUAAUACAUGCAAGUCGAGCGAAUCAAUGGGAGCUUGCUCCCUGAGAUUAGCGGCGGACGGGUGAGUAACACGUGGGUAACCUGCCUGUAAGACUGGGAUAACUUCGGGAAACCGGAGCUAAUACCGGAUACGUUCUUUUCUCGCAUGAGGAGAGAUGGAAAGAUGGUUCUGCUAUCACUUACAGAUGGACCCGCGGCGCAUUAGCUAGUUGGGGAGGUAAAGGCUCACCAAGGCGAGGAUGCGUAGCCGACCUGGGAGGGUGAUCGGCCACACUGGGACUGGGACACGGCCCAGACUCCUACGGGAGUCAGCAGUAGGGAAUCUUCCGCAAUGGACGAAAGUCUGACGGAGCAACGCCGCGUGAGCGAAGAAGGCCUUCGGGUCGUAAAGCUCUGUUGUUAGGGAAGAACAAGUACGAGAGUAACUGCUCGUACCUUGACGGUACCUAACCAGAAAGCCACGGCUAACUACGUGCCAGCCGCCGCAGUAA